AGUGACUAUGCCCUGUCAGGAGCCCGCAGGCACUUGCAACUCCAUCAGUAAAGUUUUGUUCUAAGUUAACCUGGAUCUGAGAGUGUUUGUUCCACAGUCACCAUGACAACCGGACCACUGAGGGAGCCAUGGAGACAGACAUCGCUGACGCUUUCCAACCAUGCGCUCAGCCAUCGAGCUUUGCUGUGUUCCUGGGGCAGUAGUGCUUGAACAGGUGGCAGCAAAGUGACAGAAGUGUGGAGAUUAAAAGAGAUUGUGAGGUUAUAUGGGUGACAGCAGCCAUCAAUCGGGUUAUGAAACCCAGCACCACACUCUCUACAAAGUGUAAUUCCUACAAGGCAAAGGCCUUGUCCGUCUCCCUCGUUUAACAUACUGUCUCCGGAGCUAGAACACUGCCCGGCACACGGCAAGCCCCGACCACUGGUGCACGUCUGCAUGAUGGACCAGGGGAAGUGGCAAGUGUCAAGAUGACUGCCAUGCGGCCCUCGGGCCUGUUCCUCCUCCGGCCAGCAGGGGGCUCUUCCAAUUCAGGAGAGUAGCUGAGCACCGCCGAGUGGUUCACCUGGAACUCCUCCUCCUCCAGGGAGAAAUCCCCACCUUCUCCGGUCUUGGCUCUGCCAACGCAGGCGAAUAGUGAACUUCGUGUUAACAAGCACGUUUUGCUGUUUAUAGGUGGUCCUACAAGGACUUUUUGGUUUGGGUUGUGGCGGGGUGUAAGGUUUGCUCUUAGAACCUCCACUCAACAAAGACAGCGACAGAAUUAAAAGUGGGUGGGGCCAAGCUCGCCGCGGCGGAAGCUUUAGGUCAGCGCUGAAGCCCUGCAAAAUGAAACAGCUGACUGAAUGAGGCCAGUCAGCUACAAUGUGUAUUUACCCACUGGAGAGGGAGUUGCUCCCGCCCCCUCCCUCCCCCCUCUUUCCAACAACAAUAAUCUGGCAAUAUUACGUUGCUAAAUAUAACUUCUUUUGGAAAAUAUACGCUCUCCUUAAAAGAG